GGUACAACCCUUCUCACCCAGAAUGUUCAGGAAGAAAGCACGAUCCAAACCUUGUGCAUUGACAUCCUGCAAUGUCUGGACACCUCAGUCCAUGGAAUGACCCAAGUGUUAUGGCCAAGGCUUCUGGAGUAUGUGGUGCCAGCUCAGUACACUGGUACUUUGAAGCCUCUCUGCAGAUGCCUUAGGGAACUGGCUGAGAAAAAGCAGCAGGAAGGAGAAGCAGCUGCUUGCCUCGACUACAGUGGACGAGUGCAACUCCCUACACCCCAGGGGCUGCUGGCACGACUCCUGGUGAGUAG